GGAAGACAUUCCUAAUCUAUUUCAGAAAGAAUUGUUAGGUGUGGACCCAUCUGGGUCAUUAAUGCCAUCACACAUGGGAUAAAUUCAUAUGCAUGUGCUUAAAAAAAAAGGGAGCAUGUGUUACAGACUGCUUUGUAAUAUGUUACAAUGUUAAAUUGAAUGUGUUUAUUUUUUCAAGGGCGAGUGCGUGAGCUGGGACAGUGAGCUUGUAGGCGGGGGGAGGG
rnacentral:lncRNA from 1 species